rnacentral:rRNA from 1 species
UGCAAGUCGAACGCUUCUUUUCCACCGGAGCUUGCUCCACCGGAAAAAGAGGAGUGGCGAACGGGUGAGUAACACGUGGGUAACCUGCCCAUCAGAAGGGGAUAACACUUGGAAACAGGUGCUAAUACCGUAUAACAAUCAAAACCGCAUGGUUUUGAUUUGAAAGGCGCUUUCGGGUGUCGCUGAUGGAUGGACCCGCGGUGCAUUAGCUAGUUGGUGAGGUAACGGCUCACCAAGGCCACGAUGCAUAGCCGACCUGAGAGGGUGAUCGGCCACAUUGGGACUGAGACACGGCCCAAACUCCUACGGGAGGCAGCAGUAGGGAAUCUUCGGCAAUGGACGAAAGUCUGACCGAGCAACGCCGCGUGAGUGAAGAAGGUUUUCGGAUCGUCAAACUCUGUUGUUAGAGAAGAACAAGGAUGAGAGUAACUGUUCAUCCCUUGACGGUAUCUAACCAGAAAGCCACGGCUAACUACGUGCCAGCAGCCGCGGUAAUACGUAGGUGGCAAGCGUUGUCCGGAUUUAUUGGGCGUAAAGCGAGCGCAGGCGGUUUCUUAAGUCUGAUGUGAAAGCCCCCGGCUCAACCGGGGAGGGUCAUUGGAAACUGGGAGACUUGAGUGCAGAAGAGGAGAGUGGAAUUCCAUGUGUAGCGGUGAAAUGCGUAGAUAUAUGGAGGAACACCAGUGGCGAAGGCGGCUCUCUG